rnacentral:tRNA from 1 species
UCCUCGGUAGCUCAGUCGGUAGAGCAUCGGACUGUUAAUCCGCUGGUCAGUGGUUCGAGUCCACUCCGGGGAGCCA